rnacentral:lncRNA from 1 species
AAUGAUAAAAAUACGAGUGAACCAACACCUGAAGUGGUGAUCGUGCGGUAGGGUAAAAACGAGUGGAUACCGCUAGGUAUUCCCAGUCAUCUUGAAAAUAAAGAAUGUGUCGACAAUAAAGACAACAACACUCAUGUUUUUACCGCAUAGUAUCUGUUUAUUGGGUCUACAUGUUUCGCCUAAUCGAUAGGCAUCAUCAGGACAAUUGUACAAAGAAAUAUGACAGUGAAGUAUGAAUUUAGCGAUUAGCGGUUUUAACCGGAAGUGUAAGUUACAUAAUAGUAGUUAUGGUGACGUUAUAUGAAUAGAAAGUGAAAGUGAAAGUAAAUUAAAAUAGAAAAUAUAUAAAUAGAAAUGUUGGUGUUUUCUUGAAAGGUAACAGCAUCUCGUGUGGUUGACAUCUAUCCCGUUCUGUGUAGUUAAUCUCAUGGGAAGUCUUUGGUGGUAUUGUACGUUAUUGUUAUCUAAUAAUCAUGUCAGUGAAUUCCAAAUUGGACAACACCUCACUGUUCAUUCCGUACAGCCAACUGGCUUCGCUCUGGGACCCUUGAGUUACUGCUUCCAAUUGCGUCGGUAAUGGUGUGAGGUGUAUGAUCGGCGCACAUUAUGGAAAUUAAAAUAGUGGUAGAUCCGUAAAUAUUUAAUUAUGAGUUGUGUUAAUGACUAAAGCUUUUGCUGUGGUUUGAUGUUGAAUCUGAAAGGGCUUCCAGCAGGUUUCUUCUUUCUAAACCGGUGGUAAAGUAUUGUAAUACUCUGUUAAAUCUUUAUAUUAAUUUUGCGUAGUAUCAUAACUUCAGCUAGGUGGUCUUGAUUUCUUAUUAGUGUUAUCAGCGGUUGUAGCGGUUUCUUCUUCUCUUGCUCCUUCUCUUCUUGGACAGUGCAGAAUCUUGAUC